rnacentral:snoRNA from 1 species
CUGCAGCCAAUUAAGCCGACUGAGUUCCUUUCCUCAUGGGGCCCCAGUGUGCAAUGGCUGCAAACAGCAGCUUCCCUGGUAGUGAUGCAGCCUGUCUGUUGUAUGGGUUGCUCUAAGGGACCUUGGAGACAGUC